rnacentral:rRNA from 1 species
CGCGGCCUAUCAGCUUGUUGGUGAGGUAGUGGCUCACCAAGGCGACGACGGGUAGCCGGCCUGAGAGGGCGACCGGCCACACUGGGACUGAGACACGGCCCAGACUCCUACGGGAGGCAGCAGUGGGGAAUAUUGCACAAUGGGCGAAAGCCUGAUGCAGCGACGCCGCGUGAGGGAUGACGGCCUUCGGGUUGUAAACCUCUUUCAGCAGGGAAGAAGCGAAAGUGACGGUACCUGCAGAAGAAGCGCCGGCUAACUACGUGCCAGCAGCCGCGGUAAUACGUAGGGCGCAAGCGUUGUCCGGAAUUAUUGGGCGUAAAGAGCUCGUAGGCGGCUUGUCACGUCGGUUGUGAAAGCCCGGGGCUUAACCCCGGGUCUGCAGUCGAUACGGGCAGGCUAGAGUUCGGUAGGGGAGAUCGGAAUUCCUGGUGUAGCGGUGAAAUGCGCAGAUAUCAGGAGGAACACCGGUGGCGAAGGCGGAUCUCUGGGCCGAUACUGACGCUGAGGAGCGAAAGCGUGGGGAGCGAACAGGAUUAGAUACCCUGGUAGUCCACGCCGUAAACGGUGGGCACUAGGUGUGGGCAACAUUCCACGUUGUCCGUGCCGCAGCUAACGCAUUAAGUGCCCCGCC